rnacentral:rRNA from 1 species
AUUGAACGCUGGCGGCAGGCCUAACACAUGCAAGUCGAGCGGAUGAAGGCAGCUUGCUCCUGGAUUUAGCGGCGGACGGGUGAGUAAUGCCUAGGAAUCUGCCUCGUAGUGGGGGAUAAUGUCUGGAAACGGGCGCUAAUACUGCAUACGUCCUGCGGGAGCAAGUGGGGGAUCUUUGGACAUCACGCUAUCAGAUGAGCCUAGGUCGGAGUGGCUAGUUGGUGGGGUAAAGGCCUACCAAGCCGACGAUCCGUAACUGGUCUGACAGGAUGAUCAGUCACACGGGAACGUGGACACGGACCAUGCGACUGCGAUAGGCAGCAGACGGGAAUAGUAGACAGUAGUCGGGAACCUUGUCCAGUCGGGGCGCGUGUGUUAAGGAAAUCCUCGGAUUGGAAAGCACUUUUAGGUGGGGGAAAGGGCAGUAAGUUAAUACCUUGCGUGAGUGACGGUACUAGCAGAAGAAGCACCGGCUAACUACGUG